rnacentral:lncRNA from 1 species
GGCAUAAGGCUGGCUUAGAAUUGAAAAGGUGUGUCUGACUCUAAAUUGGAUCCUCAUUCACAUCACCCAUGUGAAAGGCAUGAAUCACCAGAUUCCUGUCCAUAAGUGCUGCGCAGGUUCUCUACUACAAGGGCACUGGUGGAGACAGCAAAGCUGGGUUCUUCUUAUUCUGCAGCUGCUCUCAGCAGGGCUGUAUCUGUCCUGAGGUAGUAUAGUGCCUUUUCCAAGUCACACAGAGGUGUUCUGUGGACUCUCAGAAGCCCUGGAAUCUUGUUUUUUUGUGUUUUUAGUAGAGACAGGGUUUCACGGUGUUGGCCAGGGUGGUCUCAAUGUCUUGACCUCUUGAUCCUCCCACCUUGGCCUCCCAAACUGCUGGGAUUCCAGGCGUGAGCUACUGCACCUGACCUCCCAAGGUUAUUAUUAUUUUUUUUAAUUUAUGGAGACAGAAUCUCACUCUGUUGCCCAGGCCAGUCUCAAACUCUUGGCCUCAAACAAUCCUCCUGCCUCAGCCUCCCAAAGUGCUGGUGUUACAGGACAGAGAAAUAUGUUAUAGGAAAGGGGUCCUGAACCAGACCCUAAGAUAGAGUUCUUGGAUCUCCUGCAAGAAAGAAUUCAGGGAAAGUCCGCAGUGCAAAGUGAAAGCAAGUUUAUUAAGACAGUAAAGAAAUCAAAGAAUGGGGAGGCUCUGGGCGCCUCCCUGGGGGCCCGGUCCCUGGCACUGCUCUGGGGGCCUCGUGGCCAGCUCCUAGCCUCCCCACUCUCCCCGUCAUGAGGGGCCCAGGAGGCUGGCAGCGGGAGCCGUCACAUGCAGGACCUGCCCGGGCAUUGGGGUAUGGGAUCCCCUGGCCUGAAGCGGGCUCGUCCUGGCCGGCCUGGAUCCAAGCACAGUCUUAGCUUUUGGAGCCAGCGGCAGCCGGGCCGCAUUCAGUUUUUCCGGAAUUCAGUUGUUCUGACCCAAGUGUAGCCGACAGGAUCCUGGCAAUGCAGCCCAACAGGAAGCAAAGCACAGGGAAGCGGAAAUGAGAAACAGCAUCUUAACCCAAGUUCUGGAUCGGUAGGCCUGGGGCAGGUAGAGUAACUUAGCACCUGUAAAGCCUGAAAAAACUAAAGCAGUAGAGAAUUUAUUUUAUACAGAUGGCAAGAUAUGGACAACUGAGAAGGUGUCAGAACAAGGUUUAAUAGAAAUCCUUAAAAAAGUAAGCCAACAAACAGAAAAGACAACAACAGUGAAAUUCGACAGAAGAAAAGUAACGGACUCUGAUGAAGAUGACGAUUAUUGAACUACAAGUGCUCACAGACUAGAACUUAAUGGAACAAUUCUAGGACAGAAGUUAAGAUCUGAUUAAAUAUUUACUUGGUUUAUUGUCUAUAUGCCUUUUAAAAAAAUAAACUUUAUGCAAAAUAAAAAAAAAAA